CAAAUCUUGUAACCAUGUGUAAUCUUACAUAUACAAUCUGCUGCACAAUGUUAUGUCUUUCGGGUAUAGACUACAUGACCUUAGAAACUGCCAGGAAUAACUAUCAAAGUCUAAGUCAAGCAGAGAAAAGUCAGUUUCUUUUAGACUGGCUUAACAGUCAUUCAAGAAUAAAUGAAGAAACUGGAAAAUUUGAAUUUAGAUUCGUGAUUGGAACAGCUACAGUCUGCCUUUCUGCAUUCCUUAUGGUUCUUGGGAUACCAUCUUCAACCUACUAUAAUAUAAGGAAAAGGUUUUAUGAUGGUGCAUGUGUGAUAGGUAAUUCUGGAAAUUGUAUAGGAAGGAUGAAAGCUGAAAGCCAAGUAGCAAUCACUUGGCUACAUAUGUAUGCCAUUCAAUUUGGAGAAAAAUUGCCUGAUCAACCCAAGAUACAUCUGCCUCCAUGUAUGACAAAAUUUUCUGUUUACGAAGACCUAUCUGAAAGCCUAAAGAACCAAGAGGAAGAAGUUAUUUCAUUAUCACAUUUUUAUUACUUAUGGCGGACAUGUAUGUGUCACAUUGCAAUAC